rnacentral:rRNA from 1 species
AUUGAACGCUGGCGGCAUGCUUUACACAUGCAAGUCGAACGGUAACAGGCCUUCGGGUGCUGACGAGUGGCGAACGGGUGAGUAAUGCAUCGGAACGUGCCCAGAGGUGGGGGAUAACGCAGCGAAAGCUGUGCUAAUACCGCAUGUGAUCUGAGGAUGAAAGCGGGGGACCAGGCAGCAAUGUUUGGCCUCGCGCCUUUGGAGCGGCCGAUGUCAGAUUAGGUAGUUGGUGGGGUAAAGGCCUACCAAGCCGACGAUCUGUAGCUGGUCUGAGAGGACGACCAGCUACACUGGGACUGAGACACGGCCCAGACUCCUACGGGAGGCAGCAGUGGGGAAUUUUGGACAAUGGGCGCAAGCCUGAUCCAGCAAUGCCGCGUGCGGGAAGAAGGCCUUCGGGUUGUAAACCGCUUUUGUACGGAACGAAAAGGCUCUGGCUAAUACCUGGGGCUGAUGACGGUACCGUAAGAAUAAGCACCGGCUAACUACGUG